CAGCAGCCACGGUAAUCCGUAGGUGGCAAGCGUUGUCCGGAAUUAUUGGGCGUAAAGGGCUCGCAGGCGGUUUCUUAAGUCUGAUGUGAAAGCCCCCGGCUCAACCGGGGAGGGUCAUCGGAAACUGGGAAACUUGAGUGCAGAAGAGGAGAGUGGAAUUCCACGUGUAGCGGUGAAAUGCGUAGAGAUGUGGAGGAACACCAGUGGCGAAGGCGACUCUCUGGUCUGUAACUGACGCUGAGGAGCGAAAGCGUGGGGAGCGAACAGGAUUAGAUACCCGCGUAGUCCCUGUCUCUUAUAC
rnacentral:rRNA from 1 species